UUCCCAUAUUUAACCUUUUUAAUGUACUAACAGGUAGGACAUUCCCCAGCCUGUAGAGAGCUGCCAAUGCGAUGAGGCCUACACCACCAAUGUUGUUGACAUAAAGAUCAACUGUGAAGCUCCUCGGUGUGCUCCUGAUUUAGAGGCUUCAGAGCUGAAGGAGACAAGUCACACUGGCCUGGAGUUCAACAAAUUAACCCGAGCAACUGUAUGAAUCUGUGAAAUUGGGCCCACAUCUGAUCGUGCAGGAAUUCUAUUCAAUGUAACUCACCUGAUCUAAAUACAGUUACUCCCAAGGUGACAGAACAAAGCCACAAUUGGUAUGAGUGAGUGAUCAGAGGCAUCAGAAUCAGGCUUUCAAGCAGAGAUUCCUCCAGGACUUCCAGCUCCUCCAAGGGGAUUCUAAGCAGCCAGGUGAUGUGGCAGAUCAACACCCUGGCUCGAGCAUCGUAGUGCCCUGAAAGAGAGGGAAGAGCAGGAAAUCAAUCAGCCUUCAUCAACCAGAUUAAACAGCAAGUAGCUUACUUGGCUGUGCUAGAGGAUCAUGUCACAUACAAGCACAGCUCCUUCCCUUGGGUCCUCUUCUUCUUCCAUGUCUUUGAACACAACUCCUAUUAUCUAGAGAAGAGAGUGAUAAAUGGGAAACCCUCUGCCCUGCAAACCUCCUCCUGCAAACAAUCACGGCACCAGGCAAAAAGUGAUGUGCAGAAAAUCUGCUGGCAUUUUCCUCCCAGCUUUCCUGCCUUCCUAAAGAAAGAGGUCACCUGCUCGCCUGGAAACACUGGAAAAAACCCAUCCCACUCUGGGUAUUUCAGUUCAGAACUUCUCUGCCACCACAUUUGUAUACCAGUACAUGCAUGUGAAGGUAAGGAGACAACUCCAUUUUUAACAAGUAUGUUUAAUGAUUUGUAAUAAAGGAGUUGCUUUUCCUGAGGUGGAUGCAGGGACAGAGUGUGAUGCUUUUGCCAGAAAGGAAGCUAAGAUUAAACAGAAUGGUACCUUGAGCUCUUUGAGCAUUUUUAAGUACCAGAUGUAAACUCAUCUACAUUAUUUUCACAAAGAGCAAAUGCAAAGUGA